CUGGAGUCAAAGUGGCAUAUUUGCGCAUUAUCCUCUCAUCUGUGUCUCAAAAACUCCCAGAUUAAGUUUCUAGACGAACGGCAUCCUGAAUAAUCCCCAUAUUAUAUCAGAUGACUUGUGUUCGACUACAA
rnacentral:snoRNA from 1 species